AAAGAGGAUGAGGGAGUAUACAGAGUUAUAGUUAAGAAUCCAGUGGGAGAAGAUAAGGCUGAUAUCACAGUCAAAGUUAUUGAUGUUCCUGACCCUCCAGAAGCUCCCAAGAUCAGCAACAUUGGAGAAGAUUACUGCACUGUGCAGUGGCAACCCCCUAAAUACGAUGGUGGGCAACCAGUACUUGGCUAUAUUUUAGAGAGAAAAAAGAAGAA